rnacentral:rRNA from 1 species
AGGAUGAACGCUGGCGGCGUGCCUAACACAUGCAAGUCGAACGUCCUGUCUCGCAAGAGGCAGGGAGUGGCGGACGGGUGAGUACCACGUGGGUUAUCUACCGUGAGGUGAGGAAUACCGGCGAGAAAUCGCCGACAAGACCGCAUAGCCUCGGUGCAAGCCGAGGAAAGCUUUCUCGAGAGAGGGAGCGCCACACGAGGAGCCUGCGCCCGAUUAGCUAGCUGGUGGAGUAACGGUUCACCAGGGCGACGAUCGGUAGCUGGUCUGAGAGGACGAUCAGCCACACUGGGAUUGAGAACGGCCCAGACUCCUACGGGGGGCAGCAGUGAGGAAUUUUCGUCAAUGGGGGCAACCCUGAACGAGCAACGCCGCGUGCAGGAAGAAGGUUUUCGGAUCGUAAACUGCUUUUCGUCGGGAAGAGAACGGACGGUACCCGAGGAAUCGAGCCCCGGCUAACUACGUGCCAGCAGCCGC